rnacentral:rRNA from 1 species
AUGGUCAAGUGGUGGUGGAAACUAGAGACCCAAAAUGGUUUAUGGCAAGAUAUCAUGCAUGCUCGAUACUUGAAAAACAAAACUGUGGCAACGGUCGAGCCCAGAUUCAAUGAUUCCCCAUGUUGGAAAGCCCUUCUUAAAGUCAAGGCCUUUUACAUGGUUGGUAGAAAAAUCAACAUGGACUCUGGAAAUCUCACCAGAGUAUGGAAAGACUCCAUUAAUGGGUCAAGCCCCCUCCAGGACCGAUAUCCUUUGCGACUGGAUAUUUGCACCAAUCAGGAUUGUACUGUUGCUGAAUUUAAAUCUGUUGAUACUAACACCUUCUUCAGG